rnacentral:rRNA from 1 species
UACGUAGGGGGCAAGCGUUGUCCGGAUUUAUUGGGCGUAAAGAGCGUGUAGGCGGCCAGGUAGGUCUGCUGUGAAAACUCGAGGCUUAACCUCGAGAUGUCGGCGGAAACCAUCUGGCUAGAGUCCGGAAGAGGAGAAUGGAAUUCUCGGUGUAGCAGUGAAAUGCGUAGAUGUCGAGAGGAACACCAGUGGCGAAGGCGAGUCUCUGGACGACUCCUGACACUGAGGCACGAAAGCUGGGGGAGCAAACAGG